rnacentral:lncRNA from 1 species
AAAUAACUGAUGAAAUAUAAAAUACUUAGCCUUAAAAUGUAGAUGAAACGACAGAGCUGAUGAGUCCGGGAACAGGGUUUCUGAGCACAAUAAUGAUGAGAUUAGAAGCAAGAAAGUAAAUAAUAUUAAGCUCUGUAUAGAGUGUAGUAUAAGUUUGCUAGAAAAUUUAUGUCAUUUAUAAUGAUAACUGAACUCCCUAUUUAUAGCUAUGUCUAGGGAAGGAGGUUCUAGAAUUAUGCCCUUCUUUAAUGUCAAUUAUGAGGGUCAUUAAUGAAGAUGUAACGGUAGAUAUAAAUGCCAAAUUCCCUUUAACGGGCCAUCAUCCUUAAUGCUGUAAAAUAUUCUGUAUUAAAUGUUACCGGGUGUAAAACAUUUAACACUCCAUUUUAUGAUCGUUAUUCCUUCCGGUGAAAAGCGAAAUAGCUAUGUUCGGUGGCUAUCUCCAUCUUGGGUUCCACGUGUCCUUCAUUUAAGUUGCCAUGUGUCAUGUCGUAUUUUUCCCUAUAUAGAUAGUCCCCUUGCUUUCCGAUGACACAAUCUUGUGUUACCGGGAAGUUGGUAGAAAUACUACUUUUGGCGGGAAUUACUAUAACUCCCUCUACAGUUUUUUGACAGUUGAUUAGAUAAGGAUCGGAUAAGUUACAAAACCGGAUGGCCUUUUGAUUCUCGGUACGUUGCCCCCAGCUCGAGUUAUCCGUUCGGGUAAGAUAGAUCUAGAACUUUAAACCUUUAAGGUUUAAACUUAGAAGAACAUAGCCUCAUGUAGGAUCCCUAGUAGGUACGCUUGUUUGCAUCACGUACAUUAGACUUUUGGGACUCAACACAUGGGUUGAGUCGUCUAGGACAUGUGUACCCGAAAUUAAAAAGACCAUCCUGAUGCAUCUUACGUGCUACUUUUGUAUUUGUUUGAAUUGGUUUGCAUGUUGACUCGCUUCUAGAAUAGGGAAAUAAAAUCAAGAAAAACCGAGAUAUAGAAGGUAGGAGAGAGAAAAUUGAUCGGUUCUAGAACAUCUCGGUAUUUGAAAAAAAAAGAUCCUAGAACUCUAACUAAUUUUAGAAGGAGUUCACAAAUGAGUCCGAAUUUUCAAAAAAUGACAUUUUCCCUCGGUCCUGAAAAACUCGCCGUACUACGCGUGUCUGAUUUUCACCGGAUGUGAGAUACGUAGGCAAACCUUAUCGGUUCCGGCCCCCAAUUUUCAAAAAUCUAGAAAUAUUUUCCUUUAAUUCCUUCUUUAGAAGUCUUUCCUUAGAAAAUCUCAAAUAAAAAAAAUUAACCCAAAAAUAUUUUCUUUCUUUUACAAGUCUUUCAUUCGAAAAGGAAAUAAUAAAUAAAUAAAUCAAUCAAAUCAAGAUUCAUAAAUAUGUUUUUUUUCCUUCUUUAGAAGUUUUUCUCCCAAAAACAAAUCAAAAAUCAAAACCAAAAAUUCAAAAAUAUUUUCUUUGUUCUUUGGAAGUAUUUCUUUCGAAAAUUUCCAAUCAGAAAAAAAAAAUCAAAAUCCAAAAAUAUUUUUCUUGUUAGGAACUUUUACGAUUAGAUUUUUUAAAGAGUUAAAAAAAAGGACGUUAAUUUAUUUACUUUAGACAUGAGACAGAAUUCUAAUUUUCAAUUCAAAACAACGACAGAACCUACGAACAUGAUAUGUGAUACAUAAUAAAAACAAAUUAAAUUAACAUCUGCUUACUGACUUGCGGUAGGUGAACUUAACAUAAACUAGUUUAUCAUUCCAGUUUGGAGAGUUUAAUAUUUAGACGAAAAGAUUGAAAACUGAUCAUUUUUUUCAAUGUCUAUCUCUUAGCUCUAUAUCUUGGAUUACUAAGCUACUGCUAUGAGAUGAAUAGGUGAGUUCAAAUUUAUAGUGAAUCGUAGGAUAGAUUUUGCUUUUCCUAUUUGCUGUAUUGUUGGAUGAAACAGCUUCAUAGAUUUGCUUUUAUAAAUUCAUGAAAAUCCCAGCGGUGUUGGUAUAUUACACAUUAAUUAAAGUGGCCUUCCGAUACAAGAAACUUUUGCAUACUCUCACGGCCUUAAAAAUUAAGUAUUUUUUGCUUUUCUGGAGUCAACAAUUAUUAAAUUUUAGCCAUGAAUCUUCUUAAUAAACUUUUUGAAAUGAAUGAAUUUCAGUUUGGAGUAUUUCUCUUGUAGUGUCUAGUUCAGUGUACUCAUUUUUUCCCCAAUUUGUUUGACACUUUUUUUUUGUAUAUCACGAAAAUUGACAAAUUUUUGUACUUAGAGAUUAUUUAAUCUUCCACAUUCAUUUUGUCCUAAUACGAAUCGACAUGAUUUUUCAUGAUCGAAAUGAAUAAAAAUACAACUACAAUUUGGUACUAAGGGUGCUUUUGACAUUUUAUGCAUAUUUUAAUUUUUUAAAGAUAACGUGUCCAUUCGAAUUUCCAAACAAAUGGAUGUGAGACAAAGAGAUUAAUAAACCAUUGUCAAAUCGAUUUAAUUUGUAUACAAUAACAUUUUAGAAAAAUUUGCACUAUCAAUAUAUCUUUACUUGUCACAUUAAAUAACCUAUCUUAAUUUUCAAAUUAUUAAUUUCAAUUUUAUGUGUCACACCUCCUUUUUCCCGAAGGGGAUAGAGAGUUUUUCCAAUUGAAUUGACAUUAAUCGAAAUGAAAUUAUUUAUUCAGAGUCGUCACUUGGGAUAAUUUAUGGUGUCCUAAGUCACCGGUUUAUUUCAAAUCCCAAAUCGAGGAAAUUUGACUAUGUUUUAAAGUCUGCAAAAACCAGAAGACCGGGUAAGGAAUUCUGUUAACCCGGAAGAAGGUGUUAGGCAUUCCCGAGUUCCGUGAUUUUAGCACGGUCGCUCAACUAUUAAUAAUUGGCUUAAUAAUCUGAUUUAUUACAUGUUUUAGAACCUAUUAUGCAUUUUUACCUUUUAAAACCGCUUUUAAUUAUUUAUGAAAUUAUUUGAACAAGUCGCGAUGUCGCGCACUCGUUUGUUUUUGUACACAUUGCGAAUCGCGCCACGUAAAACACAUCCAUAAUUUAUAACAUGUUAAUUUUUAUUAUUCGAAGUUAUGGUCGAGCACAUGAAAUGCACACCCAAAUUUGGAUUUAUGUAUCAUGACCAUGCCACAGGAACUGUACUCAUAGUCACGAUGAUUUAUUAUUAAUCACGCCUAAAGCAAGCUACGAUAUUUAUGAAUAUUAACGGCCAAGCAUGCUCCUAACGGUCAAAACAAUUGAAUAAUGCAAUAAAGGUUACAGUUUCAAUAUUUCAUUUCAAUUUAGCCCAACGUCCCUACGCCCGACAUGAAAGCUCAUUUAAAUAUAAGUCCAACAAAGCACUCAAGAAAAACAAAUAGCAUCCAAACAAAUAACACAUCGUGCAGCAAAUUGCUCCUGCGAUAACAUAAGGUUAUUUAAAACACGAUUCUAGCCCACUAAUAUACCAAACCAAUCUAUAGAAAAUUUCAGAGAAUUCAAGCCUAACAUAUCCAAACUCACUUUGUUACUUAAACAAAAUUAAUCCAAAUCUUACUUCCAAUUUUAAGACUUAUACUUAUCAAAUGUAGAACUAGAUUGAACAAACUAAAAUUCCCUUCAUCUUUGUUAUCAAAUGUCACUGCCCAGAGAGAAUGCUAAGCACAAAAGGAACGAGAAUCUGACAACAAAUUAAGCUCAAAUUCAUUUUAGACAUAGACCAACACAGAGGAACAUGAAUCAGAUAACCAAUCAAACUUUAAUUCAUUUGAAAUAAAGAGUGAGACAGAAGAAAUGAACCUUGAUUGAAAAAUAAAAUCGGCAAACAAGAACUGCACCCGAACCUCGAGCGGAACCUCAGACUCUAACCUCGAACAGAUUUUGGAAUUUUUGUUUUAGGCGAUGAGCGAUGAAGCUGUGUGCUGAGACCCGUUUCCUUUUGCUCUCCCCGUUGCUUUGUCCGUUCCCUCAACUCCCUCUGUUUCGUGACCUCCUCUCUUUAUGGGUGGUGUCUUCCGGUGUUAAUGGCUGAUUUACGGUGGCUUUAGGGGGUUGAAUGGGCUAUUUUUGGGGCUGGACUUUGGUGGAGGUUUGUGUUGAUUACGGUGGAGAAGAUAGGUUCUUGAAUUUUUCCGUUCCUUUUCCUUUUGUUCCCCUGUUUUUCUCUGUUUUUGUUCUGUUUGCCGUCGUGAGUGGAGUUGAAGGGUAGUGUUGAAGUUGGUGGUAAUGGGUGUUUAAUAGAGAUUAAAGUAGAGUGGGAAAUUAGGUGGCGUCCAUGGAGUUGAACUGUGGCAUCUCUCUCUUUUUUCUAAUCCCGUUCCCAAACCCUCUGCUUUUCUCUCGUCCUCUAGGCCUCUCUUUUCUCUCUUUGCUCUAUCUGUUUUUUCUCCUUUUUUGUUUUUCCCAGCCCCCUUUGUGUGUGGAAGAUCUAUAGGAACGGGGAUUAAUU